rnacentral:rRNA from 1 species
UACGAAGGGGGCUAGCGUUGCUCGGAAUGACUGGGCGUAAAGGGCGCGUAGGCGGUUUGGACAGUCAGAUGUGAAAUUCCUGGGCUCAACCUGGGGGCUCCAUUUGAUACGUUCGGACUAGAGUGGGGAAGAGGGUCGUGGAAUUCCCAGUGUAGAGGUGAAAUUCGUAGAUAUUGGGAAGAACACCGGUGGCGAAGGCGGCGACCUGGUCCUUGACUGACGCUGAGGCGCGAAAGCGUGGGGAGCAAACAGG